AUUGAACGCUGGCGGCAGGCCUAACACAUGCAAGUCGAGCGGAGUGGCGGACGGGUGCGUAAUGCCUAGGAAUCUGCCUGGUCGUGGGGGAUAACGUCCGGAAACGGACGCUAAUACCGCAUACUAUCAGAUGAGCCUAGGUCGGAUUCUCUAGUUGGUGGGUUAAAGGCCUAACAAGGCGACGAUCCGUAACUAGUCUGAGAGGAUGAACAGUCACACGGGAACGGAGACACGGUCCAGACUCCUACGGGAGGAAGCAGGGGGGAAUAUUUGACAAUGGGCGAAAGCCUGAUCCGGACAUGCCGCGUGUGUGAAGACGGUCUUCGGAUUGUAAAGCACUUUAAGUUGGGAGGCGUUACCAACAGAAUAAGCACCGGCUAACUACGUGCCAGCAGCCGCGGUAAUUC
rnacentral:rRNA from 1 species